rnacentral:rRNA from 1 species
GAUGAACGUUAGCGGCAGGCCUAAUACAUGCAAGACGAACGGUAAGAUUUGUAGCAAUACGAAUCCUAGAGUGUCGUACGGGUGCGUAACACGUAUGCAACCUACCUAUAACAGGAGGAUAGCUCGGGGAAACUCGAAUUAACCCUCCAUAACAUAAUGAUGUGGCAUCACAUUAUUAUUAAAACUCCGGUGGUUAUAGAUGGGCAUGCGUCUGAUUAGUUAGUUGGUGAGGUAACGGCUCACCAAGACGAUGAUCAGUAGGGGAACUGAGAGGUUGAUCCCCACACUGGCACUGAGAUACGGGCCAGACUCCUACGGGAGGCAGCAGUAGGGAAUAUUGGUCAAUGGAUGCAAGUCUGGACCAGCCAUGCCGCGUGCAGGAAGAAGGCCUUCUGGGUUGUAAACUGCUUUUGUCAGGGGAUAAAACACUCGUGCGCGAGUAAUUGCAGGUACCUGAUGAAUAAGCCACGGCUAACUACGUGCCAGCAGCCGCGGUAAUACGUAGGUGGCGAGCGUUGUCCGGAUUUAUUGGUUUAAAAGGGUGCGUAGGCGGCUUUGUAAAGUCGGUGGUGAAAUAUCUCAGCUUAACUGAGAGGGUGCCAUUGAUACUGCAGAGCUUGAGUACAGACGAGGUAGGCGGAAUUGACGGUGUAGCGGUGAAAUGCAUAGAUAUCGUCAAGAACUCCGAUAGUGAAGACAGCUUACUAGACUGU